rnacentral:rRNA from 1 species
AUUGAACGCUGGCGGAAUGCUUUACACAUGCAAGUCGAGCGGCAGCGCGGGGCAACCUGGCGGCGAGCGGCGAACGGGUGAGUAAUGCAUCGGAACGUACCCAGUCGUGGGGGAUAACUGUCCGAAAGGACAGCUAAUACCGCAUACGUCCUGAGGGAGAAAGCGGGGGAUCGCAAGACCUCGCGCGAUUGGAGCGGCCGAUGCCGGAUUAGCUAGUUGGUAGGUAAAGGCCUACCAAGGCGACGGAUCCGUAGCUGGUCUGAGAGGACGACCAGCCACACUGGAACUGAGACACGGUCCAGACUCCUACGGGAGGCAGCAGUGGGGAAUUUUGGACAAUGGGGGCAACCCGUGAAUCCAGCCAUUCCGCGUGAGUGAAGAAGGCCU